rnacentral:lncRNA from 10 species
CUUUUUAAAUUCUCGGCAUAGUGUAAUGAUUACUAUUCCAAAACAGAAGAUAUGUUGGCAAACUGCCCUGUAUUUGAAAAUAGAGGAAAUGCCCUGGAAAGAAUGAGAUGUGGUAAAGAGAGGAAAUGACAAUGUACUGAAAAGACUGGGCUGUAAGUCAUCACAGCGGCGCCCUGAAACCCGAUAUGUCAGGCAAGCUGGUGGGAUCCUGGGAUCCCUCAUGUAACGGCACUCAUUCUGACAGAAGCAGAGAUAAAACAGACUAAGUACACAGAGGAGUUUAAGGUUUCGUGAAUGUAAGUGCUGAGUACAGAAUGGUGCUCAAUAAAAGCUUGUUAAUUGAUGGACCACAGGUUUGUGACAAGACUUCUCAGAGUCUGAUUCUUUCAAGGUGGGAUAUAAGAGUAAGUAAAUGGCAUGGGGAAAAUCUGAUUGCCACAGACAGAAGAAUGAAACUGGAUGCCUAUUUCUCACAAUACACAAAAGCGAUUCAAGAUUAAAGACUUAACUAUACCUUGACUAUGAAUAAUAGUUUCAAUAAGGAAGACAGAAUGAGUUCUGACACGAUGGUUGGGAGCUGUGACAGGCAGACGAAAAAUGGAGCCAAAUGGCAUGGAGGUGUGUCAUCACUGCUGGAUUUUACCUUGAUCUACAUUCAGUUAUCUACUUCUUUUCAAAAUGCUGGGCAUUCAUUCAAGAAACAGCAUAUAUGUUCUGACUUUGAAGUAAUGGAUGAACUGUCAUGUGCAGUAUAUGGAAAUAAGUUUUAUUACCUUCUUCCCACAUUAACUCAUCCAUCCAUUCAAUAGCCAUUUAUUGAGAAGCUCACUCUGUGUUAGGCACAGUGGUGUCAUGAUGUUGGAACAGUAACAAUAACUCAACCAACCAGGGCUUGUCUGAAUACAAUCCUACAGCAGCAGGAGCUGUGGAGAUAUAGAAGGCAAGGAAGACCAGGUUGUGAGGGAAGACGAAUUUACUCCCAGGAAUGUUGGGAUUGAGAGUAAUAUUCUCCAAUAAUGGUGGAAGACAGAACAAUAAAAGCCCACCAGCUCCUUCUGCAUGGUGGGAUAAGAGAAAAGCCAAGGGCAGAAGUGAGAAAAAUAACCAUCACCAAACUGAAAAGAAAACCUUUAUAAAAAAACUGGAUUGAUAAAUGACCUUUAGUAGUGGAAAGAUACCAUUCCAAUGAAGCAUGAAUUGAAAGGAUUUCUUCUGAAAGCUAAUUUACAUUUUUCUUUUUUUUUUUUUCAUUUUCAGUGUGUUUUAGCAGGUGUAUUGUUCUACAUGGUUAGUUUCUUUACCUCUUUGAGAAAAAUGGGUCAGCUUGACACAUCUGGAUGAAAGAAUCCGUUAGGUGAUUAUGAUUGAAGACAGAUUAAGCCUUGUUAUGAGGGGAAUAUUUGGGGGCUUACCCUGAGGUGAUAUUUGAUGAUUUAGCUGUGGGAGAAUUUCCCUCCCAAGAUCAGCGUGACUGACACUGAAAUUGCUACAGGGGAACCGGACCUUUCCAAGAGGUGACAAGGACAUUUACCUGGUACAACACAAUGGUUCUGGACUGGAAGUCUAGUCCCAUUGAUGAAGUUCCCAAAAGAUGUCCAGGUCCUAAUCCCUGGAAUCUGUGAAUAUGUCAUCUUACACAUCAAAAGAACUUUGAAAAUGUGAUUGAGGUUAAGGACCUUGGAAUGAGGAGAUUACCUUGGAUUAUCUGGUUGGGUCCAAGCUAAUCACAUGAGUCCUUAAAGGAGAAGAACCUUUUUUAGCUGGGUCAGAGAGAGAUGUGAUGAUGAAAACAGGCUCAGGGAGAUGCACUGUAAGAAGGGCUUGACCAGUUGUUUUUGACUUUGAAGAUGGAGGGAAGGGCCAGGAGCCAAGGAAGGUGGGUGGCUUUUGGAAGGUGGAAAAAGCAAGGGAACAUUCUCUCCAGAGCCUCCAGAAAGGAGCUCAGCCCUGUUGACAUCUUUGUUUUUAUUUUUUAUUUUUAGUAGCAUUGAGGUCUCACUAUGUUGCACAGGCUGGUCUUGAACUCUUGAGCUCAAGCACUCCUCCCGCCUUGGCUUCCCAAAGUGCUGGGAUUAUAGGCAUGUGCCACCACAUCUGGCUUCCUACUGACAUCUUAACUUUAGUGCAGUGAGACUCAUAUUUGAAUUUCUGACCUUAUAUUAUAGAACCAUAAGACAUUAUAGAAUUAUAUAGAAUUAUAGAACCAUAAGACAAUAACUUUGUGUUGUUUUAAGAUACUAAAUUUUUGGUAAUUUGUUAUGGCAGCACAAUAAAACCAAUAUAGCAUUAUAUUAUGCCAAUAUCAUCUCUUUGUUGACUAUUGCUAUUAUAGUUUGUUUUAUGGGUCUUGUGUAAACAAUCAAGCUAUAAUAUUGGGUUAACUCCCUAAGGAAAACUUGGAAUAUAGAACAUUAUUUUAAAGACUGAAUUAGGUAAAUACACCUGCCAGUGAAUACAUUAACAAAUUAAUUAAUAUAUUCACUCUUUUCACUCACAAAUACUUUUUGAGCCCCUAUUACUAGCCAAACAUUUUGUUAGAUUCUGAGAAGGGUCUGCUAGACAACAUUGUGACUAUAGUUAAUAACAAUAUAUUGUACUCUUGAAAAUUACUAAGAGAGUAGAUUUUAAGUGUUCUCACCACAAAAAAUAAGUAUGUGAGGUAAUGCAGAUGUUAGUUAGCUUGAUUUAGCCAUUCCCCAGUGUAUACAUAUUUCAAACCUUCAUAUUAUACAUGGAUAAAUAUAUACAAUUUUUAUUUGUCAAUUAAAAGCCCCUCGAUGAAUACAGUUUCCAUUCUGUCCUUGAGGUGGAGCUUGUAGACUUGGUGGGGUCCGGGGAUCAACUUUUAAACAGGCAGUUCCAAAGUGUGGAGUGGAUAGGCUUAUUCUCUUUGUUGCUUUUAUGAUAGGUAUUUAGAAUGCACUUUCCUCUGUUAAGUUAAGCCAGCCACCAUUCCCUCAUUCAGUUUCCAUCCUCCAUGAAUUUGCUCACAUCUGCGGUCUACUGUCACUCAUUCUUUCCUUCUCUUCCUGAGGGCUUGUGUGACUUAUGUUCUUGGCUUUCUCUUAGGAACAUGGUGCAGCUUGGCCCUGCAUUAUCCAUCUGGAAAAACAGAUCAUAAAACAGUCCUUCUCUGUACUAAGUGCUAAAGUAGGAGGAAGGGCAUAAGUCAGCUCCCUGAGCUAUAUAUCCUUGUUUUCAGGAGCUGAGCUAGACACAAGCAGAACUUGCAAAUAAUUUACAUUUCUUUCUGCUGAGGUGGUUCAGAAUAAGUUGCAACAAACAUGAACAGGAAUGGUGCAGUAAAU